CCUACGGGUGGCUGCAGUGAGGAAUAUUGGUCAAUGGGCGCAAGCCUGAUCCAGCCAAGUAGCGUGAAGGAUGACUGCCCUACGGGUUGUAAACUUCUUUUGUAAGGGAAUAAAGUAAGGCACGUGUGCCUUUUUGUAUGUACUUUAUGAAUAAGGAUCGGCUAACUCCGUGACAGCAGCCGCGGUAAUACGGAGAAUCCGAGCGUUAUCCGGAUUUAUUGGGUUUAAAGGGAGCGUAGAUGGUUUGUUAAGUCAGUUGUGAAAGGUUGCGGCUCAACCGUAAAACUGCAAUUGAUACUGGCAGUCUAGAGUACAGUUGAGGUAGGCGGAAUUCGGGGUGUAGCGGUGAAAUGCUUAGAUAUCACGAAGAACUCCGAUUGCGAAGGCAGCUUACUAAACUGCAACUGACAUUGAGGCUCGAAAGUGUGGGUAGCAAACAGGAUUAGAUACCCCGGUAGUC
rnacentral:rRNA from 1 species